rnacentral:tRNA from 1 species
UCCCUGGUGGCUUAGAUGGUAAAGAAUCUGCCUGUAAUGCAGGAGACGCAGGUUUGAUCCCUGGGUUGGGAA